UACGAAGGGGGCUAGCGUUGCUCGGAAUUACUGGGCGUAAAGCGCACGUAGGCGGAUUGUUAAGUCGGGGGUGAAAUCCUGGAGCUCAACUCCAGAACUGCCUUCGAUACUGGCGAUCUCGAGUUCGGGAGAGGUGAGUGGAACUGCGAGUGUAGAGGUGAAAUUCGUAGAUAUUCGCAAGAACACCAGUGGCGAAGGCGGCUCACUGGCCCGAUACUGACGCUGAGG
rnacentral:rRNA from 1 species